AUUGAACGCUGGCGGCAUGCCUUACACAUGCAAGUCGAACGGUAACAGGUCUUCGGAUGCUGACGAGUGGCGAACGGGUGAGUAAUACAUCGGAACGAGCCCAGACGUGGGGGAUAACGAGGCGAAAGCUUUGCUAAUACCGCAUACGAUCUAAGGAUGAAAGCAGGGGACCGCAAGGCCUUGCGCGUUUGGAGCGGCCGAUGGCAGAUUAGGUAGUUGGUGGGAUAAAAGCUUACCAAGCCGACGAUCUGUAGCUGGUCUGAGAGGACGACCAGCCACACUGGGACUGAGACACGGCCCAGACUCCUACGGGAGGCAGCAGUGGGGAAUUUUGGACAAUGGGCGAAAGCCUGAUCCAGCAAUGCCGCGUGCAGGAUGAAGGCCUUCGGGUUGUAAACUGCUUUUGUACGGAACGAAAAGGCUCUGGCUAAUACCUGGGGCACAUGACGGUACCGUAAGAAUAAGCACCGGCUAACUACGUG
rnacentral:rRNA from 1 species